rnacentral:misc_RNA from 1 species
GAAAAAAAUGAUUCAUAUCUAUAACUACAUGAUUUGACCAAAAAUGUCAAAUUGCAUAUCAUUUUAAUAAAAUUUUAGUGCAAUAUGUUAAGAAUAAAGGAAAAUAUAUGCGAAAUCAUGAUCACGUCACCACCUUCCAAAUUUGUAAAAAAUGAAUCUUCAGAUUGUGAGCACAAAUCAUGUAUAACUUUCCAAACAAGCAGAGUGCUGACAAGACAAUGACAGGCAAACAAGGUUCUACUAACUGAGUAGAAAGCACCCAAUUUAACACAGUAGCCAUUGAGAUCCACCAACUAAAUAAUAAGCA